CUAUCAGUUCUGCCCUUAAUAGAUGUGAAUUUAACUUUGACGAGCAAGUGACGUCACUCCAUCUCACAGAACUUCCUUUCCCCUAAUGGGAUCACCAAGAGUCCCUACAGAAAAGGACAUCAUUCCUUUCUGGUUCCUCCUCCUCUGCCCUUCAGUCUCCUUCUAUGGCAUUUUUUUUUACUUUAUUCUUUUUUCUUGCAGGCUUCUGGGUGUCCAGCAGCACAAAAGCUUUCAGAGACACUUGUGUCAAAUGCAACAUGGAGAGGAGUGAGGAUGUUCACAGCAAAUUUGGUUCAAGAUUUCUUUUCCACAAAAGGCUUCUGGGUGUCCAGCAGCACAAAAGCUUUCAGACACAUUUGUGUCAUAUGCAACAUGGAGAGGAGUGAGGAUGUUCACAGCAAAUUUGGUUCAAGAUUUCUUUUCCACAAAAGGCUUCUGGGUGUCCAGCAGCACAAAAGCUUUCAGAGACACUUGUGUCAAAUGCAACAUGGAGAGGAGUGAGGAUGUUCACAGCAAAUUUGGUUCAAGAUUUCUUUUCCACAAAAGGCUUCUGGGUGUCCAGCAGCACAAAAGCUUUCAGACACAUUUGUGUCAAAUGCAACAUGGAGAGGAGUGAGGAUGUUCACAGCAAAUUUGGUUCAAGAUUUCUUUUCCACAAAAGGCUUCUGGGUGUCCAGCAGCACAAAAGCUUUCAGAGACACUUGUGUCAAAUGCAACAUGGAGAGGAGUGAGGAUGUUCACAGCAAAUUUGGUUCAAGAUUUCUUUUCCACAAAAGGCUUCUGGGUGUCCAGCAGCACAAAAGCUUUCAGAGACACUUGUGUCAAAUGCAACAUGGAGAGGAGUGAGGAUGUUCACAGCAAAUUUGGUUCAAGAUUUCUUUUCCACAAAAGGUGUGGGUAGUGCACAUACUUUCACCCAUAGGAUUGUAUGUCAUCAUGUUCAUAAAUCUUAUGGCUUGACAACAUUAUGGUGACCUUUGUGUGCAUCAAGUCAUUUGAUUUCAUGUAUAUGUUUAUUUAGAAUGCAUAAGUUUAUGAAAUGUUUAAUUGAUAAAUGUUACUUAUAAAGAGAUCUUGCAUUUUGAAAAUUUGUUAAACUCAGAGAUCUGCAUUAUGAGGAUCAAAAGGGUCUCAGUAGUGUCUCUAUUUAUAAUGCUAGUCUUUGAAGACAAACUUCAAGUAAUGUUUUAUUAUUAACGAUUUUGGAGCAAAGGGGAACUGAUGUACGGAUCAUGUCUAGCAGCUGUCCCUUGCCCUGCUCCUCAGAUUCUGCCUUGUUAAGGUAACACUCAAUUUCGUUUGUUGCUUCUUGAGACCUGUCCUACGUCAUGGAUGUGAACGUGAUAGAGAUGGGUAGGAAGGACCUUGACUUAGCUCUAAGGGCCUUUAAA